GCUAAUGAGAUCUGCUUCCAGAAGCUUGAAUAUGUUCUCACGCAGCUUGAUGAUCUGAAACAAACUGCUGGCCAGUAUCCUUCUUCUGAUUGAGCUCGCUACAAAAAAAAAAACAAAAAAAAAAAAAGAAACUUUAAGCAGAUGUAGAUUUUACUAGUUGUGUCGUCUUCAUCGGUAUUGAUAUUCAUAAAAAGGCUUACUUGAAGAACAACUAUUGUGAUAUAGUUUCUAGAUCAGUUGUAGGUUAUCCCAUUAAAGUAUGUCCGAUUUUUACGUAUGAGUCUCUGGUUGCACAAGUAAGAUAUUCUCCUACUUGCUAUAUUAGAUUUUGCAAAAAGAUUAGGUGAAUUUGGUUAGGACAUUCACCUGACAAUGAUCUGUUCCAAGAAUAUUAGAUCAUCCAUUGGGAAUUAUCAACGUCAGGUUAUGGAGAAACCGAACCAAUUUUAUGCCAGAGAGAACCGGACCAAUUUAAUUGCGGUUACACCUAUCAUUAGAAAUGUAGAACAAGAAACGAGGAAAUUUAUGCCUGUAUCGAUCAAAACUUGUAACCAAAAGUGCUAACAACUCAAUUAUAUGAACCAUUCAUAGCAUCAAGCCAUCAACAGCUGAAAUUCCCGGUUAGAUGUGAUAAAACCAAAGCGGUUAAUAAGGGUUAAUGAGAUUGAGAACCAAUAUUUCCGGGUUGGCGGUUACGCCGUUUCGUGCUCUUCUGUUUUAGUUCCAGCUCAAGAGACGCGUUG
rnacentral:lncRNA from 1 species